UAGCAACUCUGGCUCUGCCGGGCUCGGGCUAAGAUGGUUUCGUCCUCUGUCGUACCUGAUCUUCCUCAGCUCAACCUAUUUUCUUCAGUCAUCAUGGAGAAGCUAGUAUGGAAGUUUGAGUAAGAUCAGGGUGUCGCCAACAGAAACAGGCCGUGUAGCUAAUUAGAGAUGGAUCACUUGAGCACAGAUCACACAAUCAAAGCGCAAUGCUGUCACUGUGGGCACUAGCAUUUCCUAGUCUCUGGGAGCACUUGCAUUUCAUGAAUCCCACGUAAGUUCCAAUUGAUUCUUCAAAUCAACCAACAAUCUCCACCCCACGUAACAAUAUAACAAGGUUAUAUAGCUUCUUCGACCUAGCCAGCUGCCGCAGGACAUCGCAGAUGAAAAAGUGGGAUUUCAAGAAAGCUGGGUUUAAAUAAAAUGCUGAGUUGCGCAAUGCUACAAAACCAUCUGCAUUUUCGACAAGCAUGCGCCGUUACACAUGCCGGUCCAAGAACUCAUACCUUGCGGAAGCAAUCAUUCAAACUGAGUGCAAAAUUGGAUCUUAACAUUAACAAAAUCCAGUAACAAGUAACAGUACAGAUGCCACAACGCAUCAGCCAUACCGAGAAAGGAAAGUGAAAAUCAGUAGGGAGAGAAUCCAUAACUUCGUCUAUAAGAAACCCUGCAAAAAAAUAGGAUUUUGGAGACCACCCUUCUGACAAAAUUCUCAGAAAAGGCUUUACAGGUACAAAUAAUUAUAAAUGAGGCUUCAUAUAACCUCUCCACCCUACACCAGCUGGAGGUUCUGAGGUUCAAACGAGAGAAUUCUUACACAAUCCACUAACACCUGUUGUGCUGCUACAUCAAGCAACUCUAAGAAGCAGAUGGAGGUGCCUCGGACUUGUCCGUUUCCAUCGGCUCCCCUGAAGCAGGCGGAACAUCACCAGUUCCAGCAUCAGUAUCAGCACUUGCAUUAGCAUCGGUGUUGACAUCGCCUCGAGGUUGCUGCUCACCCUGAGCAGGCCGAGGAGGAGUCUCAGGAGCAACAGGCUUGGCGGGCUUUGGUUUCAUCAUUAUUGGCCGGCAAAACCUAUUGAAGCAAAUCUUAGUCUGUAGUGUGAUCUAGAAUUAAGGAAAUAAAAAAUGGAGAGAGGAAAUCACGUGCGCAACAACACCACCAGUUACUGCAAUGACCAGUUGGCCAGAACAUGCAAGUUCCAUUAAGUCUAUCUUAUUAAUGGCUUAGAUUGUCUUUACAAGGACCAUUUCAAGAUUUGUGGCCCCAUCUAGUUGAGUAUCAACGAUUUUCUGUCACUUUCAUGUCUAGAGAAACUAAGAGCAAAAUAAACAAACACUAUCAUCAACACAGAAGUAAAA